UACGUAGGGUGCAAGCGUUGUCCGGAAUUAUUGGGCGUAAAGAGCUCGUAGGCGGUCUGUCGCGUCUGCUGUGAAAACUCAGGGCUUAACCCUGAGCUUGCAGUGGGUACGGGCAGACUAGAGUGCGGUAGGGGAGACUGGAAUUCCUGGUGUAGCGGUGAAAUGCGCAGAUAUCAGGAGGAACACCGGUGGCGAAGGCGGGUCUCUGGGCCGUAACUGGACGCUGGAGGAGCGAAAAGCAUUGGGGAGCGAACAGGG
rnacentral:rRNA from 1 species